ACAGUGAACUCCGCAUCGACUCACGCGUUCACCUCCUUCCGGUCUAAAUGGUAAACUCCUCUGCAUUUUGUCUCGCUUCUCAGAAAGGAAACACUGGUUCUGUAAACCUGUUUGAGAAGAAAAGCUCGAGGUUUCUUGGCCUCUCUGCUUCUGGAGCCAGGGGAAAAAAUAGCCCCAGGCUGAAGACAGGAGGGACCAGAUUGCUGCUUGGUGAUGCGAUCUCACUGCAGAGGCAGCCAGGAGACCCUCCUGAGACGAAUCGGAGAGUCCAUGCUGCUUUUACACACAUCCUAGUUCUUUUAUAACUAGCCUUUUCCUAUUAACGGACAUCAUUCAAAAGCCAGUUUUAAGCAACAUAAAUAUUGAAAACAAUACUAUACUAUUUAGAAUUAAUUAUAAGUUUUGUUUUUAAAGCCUAAAUCUUUUAUUGUUGUUUGAACCCUGGGCACUGAAGCUAAUAAUGUAACUUUUCUCCCUUCUUUCUUCUUUGGCAUAGAUUUAAAGAACUGUUAGACUCAUUUAAAAUGCUAUUAGGCAUUUUAAAGAGUAAUUGUUAAAUGUGUUGUCUCUUGUGGGACUGGAAAUGUUCUGUUCUUAUCUGGCGCUGGUUACAUCCUGUUUUUCAUUUGGGAAAGUGCAUUGAGCUGGAAAUUUAUAUGUUCAAUUUCUGUAUGUAAAUUGUACUUCAGUAAAAAUUUUCAAAAAA
rnacentral:lncRNA from 1 species